rnacentral:rRNA from 1 species
UACGUAGGGUGCAAGCGUUAAUCGGAAUUACUGGGCGUAAAGCGUGCGCAGGCGGUGAUGUAAGACAGGUGUGAAAUCCCCGGGCUUAACCUGGGAACUGCAUUUGUGACUGCAUCGCUGGAGUGCGGCAGAGGGGAUGGAAUUCCGCGUGUAGCAGUGAAAUGCGUAGAUAUGGCGGAGACACCGAUGGCGAAGGCAAUCCCCUGGGCCUGCACUGACGCUCAUGCACGAAAGCGUGGGGAGCAAACAGG